AGUGAACGCUGGCGGUAGGCCUAACACAUGCAAGUCGAACGGCAGCACAGUAAGAGCUUGCUCUUACGGGUGGCGAGUGGCGGACGGGUGAGGAAUACAUCGGAAUCUACUUUUUCGUGGGGGAUAACGUAGGGAAACUUACGCUAAUACCGCAUACGACCUACGGGUGAAAGCAGGGGAUCUUCGGACCUUGCGCGAUUGAAUGAGCCGAUGUCGGAUUAGCUAGUUGGCGGGGUAAAGGCCCACCAAGGCGACGAUCCGUAGCUGGUCUGAGAGGAUGGUCAGCCACACUGGAACUGAGACACGGUCCAGACUCCUACGGGAGGCAGCAGUGGGGAAUAUUGGACAAUGGGCGCAAGCCUUAUCCAGCCGAACCGCGUGGGUGAAGAAGGCCUUCGGAUUGUAAAGCCCUUUUGUUGGGAAAGAAAAGCAGCAGGUUAAUACCCCGCUGUUCUGACGGUACCCAAAGAAUAAGCACCGGCUAACUUCGUG
rnacentral:rRNA from 1 species